GUUAGUACUAUGGCUCAGGAUUAACGCUGGCGGCGUGCCUAGUACAUGCAAGUCGAAUGGUUAGCUUGGCUAACCAUGGCGAACGGGUGAGUAACACGUAGGCAACCUGUCUAAGAGACGAGGAUAACCAUUGGAAACGAUGGAUAAUACUGGAUAAGAUAUUGGGAGGCAUCUUCUGAUAUUUAAAAGAUUUAUCACUAAGUAGAGGGGCCUGCGGCGCAUUAGCUAGUUGGUGAGGUAACGGCCCACCAAGGCGAUGAUGCGUAGCCGGACUGAGAGGUUGAACGGCCACAAUGGGACUGAGAACGGCCCAUACUCCUACGGGAGGCAGCAGUAGGGAAUUUUCGGCAAUGGACGAAAGUCUGACCGAAGCAACGCCGCGUGAACGAAGAAGUAUUUCGGUAUGUAAAGUUCUUUUAUUUGGGAAGAAAAUACACUGGCUGUACCAAAUGAAUAAGCUCCGGCUAACUACGUGCCAGCAGCAGC
rnacentral:rRNA from 1 species